CGGAAAGGAAAGGGUUUAUUUCACCUGCCAGUUUAUAGCCCAUUGUGACGGAAGACCAAGGUAACAACUGAGGAAGAGACCAUGGAGGAACAUUGUAACAAGCUCGCUCUCCGGGCUUACUAAGUUUCCAUUUUCAUACAACUCCGGACCACUUGAUCAGAGGUGCAUUCUGGAUGAUUAUGGGUUAUGUACACAAUGAAUGUUAGGCUGGUCCCUAGAGUACAGGUACCGCAGACAAUGCGACAACAGCUGUACAGCAUCAAACAGUCUAUGGCCUGCUGUGACAAUGAAAGAUGGGAGCAAAGGACACCCAGGGCCAUUGAGGUAAGUCAAAGUUUCCAUUGAGUUAGCCAGAAAUUCAUAUCUUCAGAUACACGAG